rnacentral:rRNA from 1 species
UGGCGGACGGGUGAGUAACGCGUAGGUAUCUAUCCUCAGGUGGGGGAUAACCGUGGGAAACUACGGCUAAUACCGCAUGACGACUGAGGUCCAAAGGCGCCGGGGGAACCUGGGGUCGCUUGGGGAGGAGCCUGCGUCCGAUUAGCUAGUUGGUGGGGUAAAGGCCUACCAAGGCGACGAUCAGUAGCUGGUCUGAGAGGAUGAUCAGCCACACUGGGACUGAGACACGGCCCAG